GCCGAGAUGGCGAAACUGGUAGACGCACUGCUUUAAGGGGGCAGCGGGAGUAAUCCCGUAGGAGUUCGAGUCUCCUUCUCGGCACCA
rnacentral:tRNA from 1 species